AGAACGAACGCUGGCGGCAGGCUUAACACAUGCAAGUCGAACGCAUCGCAAGAUGAGUGGCAGACGGGUGAGUAACGCGUGGGAACCUUCCCAAUGGUACGGAAUAGCUCAGGGAAACUUGAGGUAAUACCGUAUACGCCCCAAGGGGGAAAGAUUUAUCGCCAUUGGAUGGGCCCGCGUCGGAUUAGGUAGUUGGUGAGGUAACGGCUCACCAAGCCUGCGAUCCGUAGCU
rnacentral:rRNA from 1 species